CUUUUUUGCCGGUUCUUCCCGCUGAGGAAGUGUCGCUCAAGACGCUGGCCUAUGAAGGAAGACAAACAUAAAGAUGAAGUGCUUAAUUCAAGGUCACACAAUGUCGGGGAUGGACCUCCAGAUUUCCUUACUGACCUGCAUUAUCUUGUGGAUACCUGAGUGAAUUCCACACCACCCAUUUUAUAGAUGAAACCACUGAGACAUGGAGCAAUUGACUGAGUAGUCACUGCCCCACCCCUGCCUGGAGCCUCACACAUGACUCGCCUCCUCUCAGUGACCACAGGUGAGACGUGGUCUUGUAACACAGUGGUUAAGAAUGUGACUUUGGAGCCAGCCUGCUAGGGGCUGAAUUCUGACUCAGCCAUUUACUAACUGUGUGACCUUAGGCUGGAGUGCAAUGGCAUGAUCUCGGCUCAUCACAACCUCUGCUUCCUGGGUUCAAGCGAUUCUCCUGCCUCAGCCUCCCGAGUACCUGGGACUACAGGCACUCGCCACCAUGCCCGGCUGAUUUUUGUAUUUUUAAUAGAGAUGGUUUCACUAUGUUGGCCAGGCUGGUCUCGAACUCCUGACCUUGUGAUCUGCCCACCUCAGCCUCGAAAAGUGCUGGGAUUACAGGCGUGAGCCACUGCGCCCAGCCUUGUAUUUUUUUUCAGUUUGGGUAGCUGUCCCUAAUUCAUUUGUUAAAGGAGAAGCAAGAGCAAGAACCUUUAAUCUGUUCUCCUCUUCCCUAAUUUGAAAGUAGCUUGUUAUUUUGAAUAUCACUUUCUCUGAAAUAGCACAUCUCCAUCUCAGAGAAUGGAUUUAAUGUUUGGAUACAGCCAAAAGUCAUUUCAUUACCAAACCAUGGGGUGAAUAUACCAUGUAAAGCAGUUUGGGAUCAGAACUCACAGUCUGAAUUGUAAGUGAUGAGACUGCUGUCUCUCUGCUACAGCUUCUUGGCUGGCUCUGAAGGCUCUUUGAAGGCAGAUCCUAACAAGGGGACUGCUUUGAAGGGCCAUUGUUCAUUUGGAAUGAUAAAGUCUAUGUUGUUCAAAAAACAAAUGCUUGUAGCAGGUAUUUUUUCACUCCAGACUGAGAAUAUUGGUGGGAUAUUGAUAAGGGGUACUGAAUGGUAAUAAACAUGUGCUCUAGCUCUGUGCUAGUCAGCUUAUUUCAGAACUCUAGUUUGAUUCAGUUUCUUGCCUCUGACUCAAAAUGGAGGGAGAGUGAUUUUUACAUAAGAGAACACACCCACAUAUCCUUUUGGCAGCAGCUACCUGCCAGAGAUGUUGAAGAAGAGUAGCCAACCUUUACACAGCAGAUAUUGUGUGCCAGUCAUAGUCCUAAGUAUAAUACCUUACAUGUAUAAACUUCUUAUAAGGUUGGUGCUCUGUACCGAAUUGAAUAGUAUCCCCCAAAAUUCAUGUUGUCCCAGAACCUAUGAAAGUGAUCUUACUUGAGGGAGGGGGGAGGGGGGAGGGAUAGCAUUAGGAGAUAUACCUAAUGCUAAAUGACGAGUUAAUGGGUGUAGCACACCAGCAUGGCACAUG
rnacentral:lncRNA from 10 species